rnacentral:rRNA from 1 species
GCCAGCAGCCAUAUCUCCCUGCAGCUCACAACUGGCAGCCAAGGUGUGAGCCUGGUCAGUACCUGGAUGAGAGACCUCCUGGGAAUAACUUAGGUUGCUGCUGGAA